rnacentral:ribozyme from 1 species
UGCCCAGCAACUCCUAUCCCUACUUUCUCGUGGUACUGGCCGGGGUACGAGCAACCUUAGGGAAGAUCGAGUAACUAACCCCGGUGUGAACUCUGGUGAUAUGCUGACAGGGAAGG